CCAGAAGGUGAGAGCGAGGCCGGUGGCCAUGAGGAAGGCGUCCCCGGAAGGUGAGAGCGAGGCCGGUGGCCAUGAGGAAGGCGUCCCCGGAAGGUGAGAGCGAGGCCGGUGGUCAUGAGGAAGGCGUCCCUGGAAGGUGAGAGCGAGGCCGGUGGUCAUGAGGAAGGCGUCCCUGGAAGGUGAGAGCGAGGCCGGUGGUCAUGAGGAAGGCGUCCCCAGAUGGUGAGAGCGAGGCCGGUGGCCAUGAGGAAGGCGUCCCUGGAAGGUGAGAGCAAGGCCGGUGGCCAUGAGGAAGGCGUCCCCGGAAGGUGGGAGCGAGGCCGGUGGCCAUGAGGAAGGCGUCCCCAGAAGGUGAGAGCGAGGCCGGUGGCCAUGAGGAAGGCGUCCCCGGAAGGUGGGAGCGAGGCCGGUGGCCAUGAGGAAGGCGUCCCCAGAAGGUGAGAGCGAGGCCGGUGGCCAUGAGGAAGGCGUCCCCGGAAGGUGGGAGCGAGGCCGGUGGCUAUGAGGAAGGCGUCCCCAGAAGGUGGGAGCGAGGCCGGUGGC